rnacentral:rRNA from 1 species
UGAGCAAUCUGCCCUUCUCUUCGGAAUAAGCGUUGGAAACGACGUCUAAUGCCGAAUACGACCUCCUUUCGCAUGAUCGGAGGUGGAAAGCUCCGGCGGAGAAGGAUGAGCUCGCGGCCUAUCAGCUAGUUGGUGUGGGUAAUGGCCCACCAAGGCGACGACGGGUAGCCGGCCUGAGAGGGUGACCGGCCACACUGGGACUGAGACACGGCCCAGACUCCGUACGGGAGGNAG